ACAUCCAUGGCUGAAUGGUUAAAGUGCCCAUCUUAUAAUUGGUGAAUUCUAAGUUCAAUUCUUACGGGAUGCA
rfam:Citrus clementina cultivar Clemenules unplaced genomic scaffold scaffold_2, whole genome shotgun sequence.